AACACGAUAUGCGGUUCACAGCAGGCAUCUAACGUGAACGAAAUGUGAAGGAGAAGGAUGGGGAUGCGUCUGAUUAGCUUGUUGGCGGGGUAACGGCCCACCAAGGCGACGAUCAGUAGGGGUUCUGAGAGGAAGGUCCCCCACAUUGGAACUGAGACACGGUCCAAACUCCUACGGGAGGCAGCAGUGAGGAAUAUUGGUCAAUGGACGAGAGUCUGAACCAGCCAAGUAGCGUGCAGGAUGACGGCCCUAUGGGUUGUAAACUGCUUUUAUAGGGGGAUAAAGUGUGCCACGUGUGGCAUAUUGCAGGUACCCUAUGAAUAAGGACCGGCUAAUUCCGUGCCAGCAGCCGCGGUAAUACGGAAGGUCCGGGCGUUAUCCAGAUUUAUUGGGUUUAAAGGGAGCGUAGGCCGUCUUAUAAGUGUGUUGUGAAAUGUCGGGGCUCAACCUGGGCAUUGCAGCGCGAACUGUGAGCCUUGAGUGCGCAGGAAGUAGGCGGAAUUCGUCGUGUAGCGGUGAAAUGCUUAGAUAUGACGAAGAACUCCGAUUGCGAAGGCAGCCCGCUGUAGCGCAACUGACGCUGAAGCUCGAAAGCGUGGGUAUCGAACAGG
rnacentral:rRNA from 1 species